CAUAAUCAUCAUCAAAUAUAAAGUAAGAAAGAACCUGCAUUCAAUUUGCCAUACUCCGAGGCGGUCAGUGUGGUGGCUCCGGGGCUGGCGGAGAUUACAGAGCGAACCCACUGACAGCUAACAGUUAGAAAUAGAUUUCGUUUGAAAGGCAUAGCUGGGACGGCGUAAAAGCAGAGCAGAACGGAAUGGACCAGCAAGCAGUCCCGUGAACGGGUAUAUAUGUUUUUCUUACCUUCAGAUGCCCGACGCCGUUUUUAUACCCUCCACGAAGGAGGGUAGUAUUUUAACUUCAGAUCGACAUUUGAAAGUACUGGAACAAGUGGUGAUAUGCUCCCAAAAUGUACAUAAUAUUU